rnacentral:lncRNA from 1 species
AGAAGAUAAAGUUGUGAAGAGCAGACUCCAUCAAUGGCUGAGAUGAGGCCACGUUGAUCACUACAAGGAUCAAAUACAGCUUAUGAAUGAAGUUCUUGAAGCUUAGUCAAGUGGGUUUUGUGAGUUUUAUAUAAAUAUUUGGACAGAAUGAAGAUGAGGGUUUGGCAAUUCAAGAAGAUGCAGAGAUAAAAAAAAAAUAUUGAGAGAGAGAGAGGGAGAGAUACAGGGAGAGAGAGAGAGAGAUGUAUUAUUAAAUGUAAUUAAGUUGACGUGGCAUGUUUU